rfam:Schistosoma curassoni strain Dakar, Senegal genome assembly, scaffold: SCTD_contig0005891
GCACUGCUGAAGAGUCUCACAAUAGGACGAGAUGGCCAUCCAGUAC